AGGGCCUAUGAACUGAGAGUCAUUUAGUUCCAUCUAGUUGAGCACAGGGACUUCGCUCCUGGCUCAGUGGUAAAGAAUCUGCCUGUCAAUGCAGGAGACAUGGGUUCAAUCCCUGGGUUGGGAAGAUUCCCUGGAGAAGAAAAAUGGCAACUCACUCCAGUAUUGUAGCCUGGGAAAUUCCAUGGACAGAGGAGCCUGGGUGGGCUAUAUAGUCCAUGGUGGUCACAAAAGAGUCAAACCUGACUUAGCAACAACAUACAAUUGAGCACAAUGCCAGGCACAGCUUGUGAUGUUUAAUAAGCCACAGCACUACUAAAAGGCACAAAUGUUCUGAUUUUUCCAUUCUAACCUAGGGUCUUCAGAAAGGAAUACGGCCCCACUGACAUCUUCAUUUUGGACCAGUGAGACCAUUUCAGGUUUCUGACCUCCAGAAUGGAGAAACAACUUAUGAAACACAUCUGGAACACACUCAUCUAUGAAAUGGAAAUUCCCUUAAUUGUCCCUUGAACAGAGUGCCAGACAUCCUUGAGUGUGAACUCAAGGAUAACUAUGAAC
ensembl:lncRNA